CCUUACCAGGUCUUGACAUCCUCUGAAAACCCUAGAGAUAGGGCUUCUCCUUCGGGAGCAGAGUGACAGGUGGUGCAUGGUUGUCGUCAGCUCGUGUCGUGAGAUGUUGGGUUAAGUCCCGCAACGAGCGCAACCCUUGAUCUUAGUUGCCAUCAUUAAGUUGGGCACUCUAAGGUGACUGCCGGUGACAAACCGGAGGAAGGUGGGGAUGACGUCAAAUCAUCAUGCCCCUUAUGACCUGGGCUACACACGUGCUACAAUGGACGGUACAAAGAGCUGCAAGACCGCGAGGUGGAGCUAAUCUCAUAAAACCGUUCUCAGUUCGGAUUGUAGGCUGCAACUCGCCUACAUGAAGCUGGAAUCGCUAGUAAUCGCGGAUCAGCAUGCCGCGGUGAAUACGUUCCCGGGCCUUGUACACACCGCCCGUCACACCACGAGAGUUUGU
rnacentral:rRNA from 2 species